AUACUUACCUGGCAGGGGAGAUACUAUGAUCAGUAAGGUGGUUCUCCCAGGCCGAGGCUAUCCUAUUGUACACCGGGUUUGCUGAUGCCUGCGAUGUUCCGAAAUGCGGGAUACUCGGCUGCAAAAUUUGUGGUAGUGGGGGACUGCGUUCGCGCUCUCCCCUG